rnacentral:rRNA from 1 species
ACGGCUCAGUAACACGUGGUCAACAUACCCAGAGGACGUGGAUAACCUCGGGAAACUGAGGAUAAACCGCGAUAGACCAUAAUGUCUGGAAUGAUUUAUGGUUCAAAUCUACAUGGCCUCUGGAUUGGACUGCGGCCGAUCAGGCUGUUGGUGAGGUAAUGGCCCACCAAACCUGAAACCGGUACGGGCUCUGAGAGGAGAAGCCCGGAGAUGGGCACUGAGACAAGGGCCCAGGCCCUAUGGGGCGCAGCAGGCGCGAAAUCUUUGCAAUAGGCGAAAGCCUGACAAGGUUACUCUGAGUGAUCUCCGCUAAGGAAAUCUUUUGACACCUCUAAAAAUGGUGUAGAAUAAGGGGUGAGCAAGCCUGGUGUCAGCCGCCGCGGUAAUACCAGCACCCCGAGUGGUCGGGACGAUUAUUGGGCCUAAAGCAUCCGUAGCCGGUUCCUUAAGUCCUCCGUUAAAUCCACCUGCUUAACAGAUGGGCUGCGGAGGAUACUAUAGAGCUAGGAGGCGGGAGAGGCAAGCGGUACUCAGUGGGUAGGGGUAAAAUCCGUUGAUCCAUUGAAGACCACCAGUGGCGAAGGCGGCUUGCCAGAACGCGCUCGACGGUGAGGGAUGAAAGCUGGGGGAGCAAACCGGAUUAGAUACCCGGGUAGUCCCAGCUGUAAACGAUGCAGACUCGGUGAUGAACAGGCUUCGUGCCUGUUCAGUGCCGCAGGGAAGCCGUUAAGUCUGCCGCCUGGGGAGUACGGUCGCAAGACUGAAACUUAAAGGAAUUGGCGGGGGAG